rfam:Myotis davidii contig151057, whole genome shotgun sequence.
CUAUAAAAGAUGUAACAGAUGCAAACUGUAACACAGGGCCAUUAACCCCUUCUCUGCCGGGCACACUCCGUCCCCCACGCCCGCACCUAUUGUCUCCCGCGCUGGAAGCUUUGCGGAAAACCUGGAA